AUGAGACUCUUGGGUCUUCUCCUUUGCGUGAUGAUGGCUCCCCAAGGAGUCCUGUCCCAGGUGAAGCUGCAGAGUUGGGGCCCAGAACUUGUGAAGCCCUCGCAGACAAUCUCCCUCACUUGUGCUGUCUAUGGAUCCUCCUUCACAAGCAGUGAUUAUGGUUGGAGCUGGACUCGCCAGCCCCUAAGGAAGGGGCUGGAGUGGAUGGGACUUGUAAGCUAUAGUGGUAGCACUUACUACAGCCCAUCCCUCAAGAGCCGCAUCUCCAUCUCCAGAGACACGUCCAAGAACCAGUUCUCCCUGCAGCUGAGCUCCGUGACCACCGAGGACACGGCCGUGUAUUACUGUGCAAGAGUGAAAGUUAGUUAUUAUGAUGCACACAUGUUGUGGAUGGAGAACCAGGCCCCCUAUGUGGAUGCAGCUCUCAUUUUCCCCCAUGAAACAUGGAGGAAGACAAGCAAAAAAUUAAAACCCAUCCCAGCCGUGAUGGGACGUGUUCUGG